rnacentral:rRNA from 1 species
AACGAACGCUGGCGGCAUGCCUAACACAUGCAAGUCGAACGAGACCUUCGGGUCUAGUGGCGCACGGGGGCGUAACGCGUGGGAAGCUGCCCUUAGGUUCGGAAUAACUCCCCGAAAGGGGUGCUAAUACCGGGUAAUGUCUUCGGAUCAAAGAUUUAUCGCCUUUGGAUGAGCCCGCGUUGGAUUAGCUAGUUGGUAGGGUAAAAGCCUACCAAGGCGACGAUCCAUAGCUGGUCUGAGAGGAUGAUCAGCCACACUGGGACUGAGACACGGCCCAGACUCCUACGGGAGGCAGCAGUGGGGAAUAUUGGACAAUGGGCGAAAGCCUGAUCCAGCAAUGCCGCGUGAGUGAUGAAGGCCUUAGGGUUGUAAAGCUCUUUUACCCGGGAUGAUAAUGACAGUACCGGGAGAAUAAGCUCCGGCUAACUCCGUG